rnacentral:rRNA from 1 species
UACGUAGGUGGCAAGCGUUGUCCGGAUUUAUUGGGUUUAAAGGGUGCGUAGGCGGUCUUAUAAGUCAGUGGUGAAAUACGGCAGCUCAACUGUCGAGGUGCCAUUGAUACUGUAGGACUUGAGUACAGACGAGGUAGGCGGAAUUGACGGUGUAGCGGUGAAAUGCUUAGAUAUCGUCAAGAACACCGAUAGCGAAGGCAGCUUACUAGACUGUAACUGACGCUGAUGCACGAAAGUGUGGGGAUCAAACAGG